UCCGUAGGCGGUGUGGCAAGUCGGAAGUGAAAUCUCUGGGCUUAACUCAGAGGCUGCUUCCGAAACUGCCGUGCUAGAGUGCGAGAGAGGCAAGUAGAAUUGCGGGUGUAGCGGUGAAAUGCGUAGAUAUCCGCAGGAACAUCCGAGGCGAAAGCGGCUUGCUGGAUCGCAACUGACGCUGAGGGACGAAAGCUAGGGGAGCAAACAGGAUUAGAUACCCUGGUAGUCCUAGCCCUAAACCAUCAGGACUUGGGGUUUGCCCUGUACGGGGCAAGUCCCGUAGCUAACGCGUUAAGUCCUGCGCCUGGGGAGUACGGUCGCAAGGCUGAA
rnacentral:rRNA from 1 species